rnacentral:tRNA from 1 species
CCCGAGGUGGUGUAGCGGUAACAUCCUGCGGUGACACGCAGUUUGCCAAAGUCAAACUGUGCCCUGACUCUGGGUCUGGGGAGCUAGGUUCGACUCCUAGUCUUGGGU